rnacentral:rRNA from 1 species
AUUGAACGCUGGCGGCAGGCCUAACACAUGCAAGUCGAGCGGGGUGAUGGUGCUUGCACUAUCACUUAGCGGCGGACGGGUGAGUAAUGCUUAGGAAUCCGCCUAUUAGUGGGGGACAACAUCUCGAAAGGGAUGCUAAUACCGCAUACGUCCUACGGGAGAAAGCAGGGGAUCACUUGUGACCUUGCGCUAAUAGAUGAGCCUAAGUCGGAUUAGCUAGUUGGUGGGGUAAAGGCCUACCAAGGCGACGAUCUGUAGCGGGUCUGAGAGGAUGAUCCGCCACACUGGGACUGAGACACGGCCCAGACUCCUACGGGAGGCAGCAGUGGGGAAUAUUGGACAAUGGGGGGAACCCUGAUCCAGCCAUGCCGCGUAUGUGAAGAAGGCCUUAUGGUUGUAAAGCACUUUAAGCGAGGAGGAGGCUCUUUUGGUUAAUACCCAAGAUGAGUGGACGUUACUCACAGAAUAAGCACCGGCUAACUCUGUGCCAGCAGCCGCCGUAA